rnacentral:rRNA from 1 species
UACGUAGGGUGCGAGCGUUAAUCGGAAUUACUGGGCGUAAAGCGUGCGCAGGCGGUUUGUUAAGACAGAUGUGAAAUCCCCGGGCUUAACCUGGGAACUGCAUUUGUGACUGCAUAGCUAGAGUACGGUAGAGGGGGAUGGAAUUCCGCGUGUAGCAGUGAAAUGCGUAGAUAUGCGGAGGAACACCGAUGGCGAAGGCAAUCCCCUGGACCUGUACUGACGCUCAUGCACGAAAGCGUGGGGAGCAAACAGG